CAGCUUAGCUAUGCUAAAUUACGGCUGAGAAUUUAACUGGCCAGUUGUUAUAUGAGAGUUUUUUGAGAUCUCCAUCAACAUGUCUGCUUACUGAGCUUCUCACAUUU